GUAAGUUCCGACCCGCACGAAAGGCGUAACGAUUUGGGCACUGUCUCAACGAGAGACUCGGUGAAAUCAUAGUACCUGUGAAGAUGCAGGUUACCCGCGACAGGACGGAAAGACCCCGUGGAGCUUUACUGUAGCCUGAUAUUGAAAUUCGGCACAGCUUGUACAGGAUAGGUAGGAGCCUUUGAAACGUGAGCGCUAGCUUACGUGGAGGCGCUGGUGGGAUACUACCCUAGCUGUGUUGGCUUUCUAACCCGCACCACUUAUCGUGGUGGGAGACAGUGUCAGGCGGGCAGUUUGACUGGGGCGGUCGCCUCCUAAAAGGUAACGGAGGCGCUCAAAGGUUCCCUCAGAAUGGUUGGAAAUCAUUCAUAGAGUGUAAAGGCAUAAGGGAGCUUGACUGCGAGACCUACAAGUCGAGCAGGGUCGAAAGACGGACUUAGUGAUCCGGUGGUUCCGCAUGGAAGGGCCAUCGCUCAACGGAUAAAAGCUACCCCGGGGAUAA
rnacentral:rRNA from 1 species